rnacentral:rRNA from 1 species
AACGUAGGGGACAAGCGUUAUCCGGAUUUACUGGGCGUAAAGCGCCCGUAGGCGGUUCGAAAAGUUGGACGUGAAAGCUCCCGGCUUAACUGGGGAGAGGCCGUUCAAAACUUUGGGACUAGAGUAAGGCAGAGGAGCGCGGAAUUCCCGGUGUAGUGGUGGAUGCGUAGAUAUCGGGGAGGAACACCGUGGCGAAAGCGGCGCUGUGGGCCUAAACUGACGCUGAG